GGUACUAUUUACAUAUGCUGUUAGAGUUGUAGGGUUAAGACCUUGAAGUUCAUCUCAAUAAACUGAGAUGCAGAAGCUUUUUUUUUUUUUUUGGAACAGAACUGAGUUGUAAUCCUUUAUUGUCCUCGUAAUUUAGAUGUGGUCUCUUUUGUUUUUUUUUUUUCGGAUUUUAGAUAUGGUUAUGUGUUCUGGGUGGAUCCAAUUAUGUGUAUAUGGUUUGGUUCUUGUUCUUGAUCCGGAAAUUUACUUCUCUUCUGUACAAAAAGCAAAUCUUGAUUCUCUCUUUU
rnacentral:misc_RNA from 1 species